rnacentral:lncRNA from 1 species
AUGUCCUUGGGGUUCGGGGGUGACCCCGGCUGUGGGUGGGGGUGUCCCCCGAGCUGCCACCCCCGGCCCCGCCCGCGCCCCUCCCCGUCCCGCCCCGCCCAGGGGCGGCCCUUGGGGGCAGCGGCUGCGAGCGGAGCGGCUCCGGCACCGGGUGAGUGCGGGAGGGACGGGGCUGCCCCCUCCUCACCCCCAUCCUCAUCCUCAUCCCCAUCCCGCUCUCAUCCCCAUCCCCGUCCCCUGUCCCGGGAGCGGUCCCGGGGGCUGAGCCGCGGUCCCCCCGCAGCCGGGAGCUCCCCGCAAACCUCGCUCACCGCCGGUGGAUCCGGCCCCCAGCCCCGGGCUCACCUCGGCAGCCUCGGAGCGCUCUCAGCAUCCCCUCCGCGCUGGGCUGGAGCAACCGGAGCUCCCUCCCCGGCCACGGCACCUCCUGGCCCCGCCGGGCCCGGGGGGACCCGCCCGCCGCUGCCCCGGAGCCCCCCAGGAGCCCCCGCUGGGCACCGGCUCCUCCCGGCGGCUCCACCCCGAGCGCGGCCGCUGGGACCCCUCGGCACCCUCAGGACACCCCCAGGGCACCCCCAGGGCACCCCCGGCGGCUCCGCCAGCGCUCAGCGCUCCCUCCUUCCCCUCUCCCCUUCCAGGACGGAGCCAUCGGGCCGAGAGAACAAUAGCGGCGCUGGAAAACAAUGGAGCGGCCGCCGCUCCCCGCGUAGCGAUGCGGGCAGGACGCGGGGCAGGAAUCCCGGGAGCAGCGCAGCAUCCGCGGCUCGGGGUGCAGCUCUGGCGGCGCCGUGGAUGCUCCAAAUGCAAAUUUAGCGUAAGGAAAUCUCCAGGGGAUUAAAUUUUCAGUGAGUUCCAGGCGCCUCUGCCUUUAUCUGAUCUCCCUCCUUCGAACCUCCGGGGGCUUUGCCAGGGGGUUAUCAUUAUCUUUAUUUUUAUUAUAAUUUUUAUUUUUAUUUUAUUUUUAUCUUUAUUUUAUUUUUAUUUUUAUCUUUAUUUUUAUUUUUAUUUUAUUUUUAUUUUUAUUUUUAUUUUAUCUUUAUUUUUAUUUUUAUUUUUAUUUUAUCUUUAUUUUUAUUUUUAUUUUUAUUUUUAUUUUUAUUUUCUUUUUAUCUUUAUUUUUAUCUUUAUUUUUAUCUUUAUUUUUGUUUUUGUUUUUAUUUUUAUUUUUAUUUUUAUUUUUAUUUUUAUUUUUAUUUUUAUUUUUAUUUUUAUUUUUAUUUAUUUUUAUUUCUAUUUCGAUUUUUAUUUCG